GCGAGAAAACUUUGCAAUGUGCGAAAGCACGACAAGGUUAAUCCGAGUGGUUUCUGCUAAAGAAACCUUUUGUCAGUCCUAGAAACACUAACGAAUAAGGGGUGGGCAAGUUCUGGUGUCAGCCGCCGCGGUAAAACCAGCACCUCAAGUGGUCAGGAUGAUUAUUGGGCCUAAAGCAUCCGUAGCUCGUUUUGUAAGUUUUCGGUUAAAUCCAUACGCUUAACGUAUGGGCUGCCGGGAAUACUGCAUAACUAGGAAGUGGGAGAGGUAGACGGUACUCGGUAGGAAGGGGUAAAAUCCUUUGAUCUAUUGAUGACCACCUGUGGCGAAGGCGGUCUACCAGAACACGUUCGACGGUGAGGGAUGAAAGCUGGGGGAGCAAACCGGAUUAGAUACCCAGGUAGUCCCUGAGCGGGCUGGCAAGGCGCAU
rnacentral:rRNA from 1 species